GUCCUCCUCGCUCGAUUCGCCUCCUCCUGGGAUUGCGGUAGCCGGGUCCAAGGGAAGAGGACGGAGAGUUGAGACUGACCAUUUGGAGGAAGGUUGUCCGGGGAUCCUGUUAGUGCACCUGCCCCCUCUCCCCCGACCCCAAGACAUUUUUAACACCACCUCAUCCCUCAAGUUCGGCUCUCUCAUUCUCCCUCCAGUAAAAAAGGCUAAACUGUUGGGUCUGAUAGGAAAUCGAGUGGUGUAUGAGGAAAAGAGGGAGAAAGGGAUUGGUGAGACGGGUCUGGGGAUGCAGCUCGGGAGUUGAGCCCUUGCCCUGCAAGCGCGGAACCCCGGGAUUCAAUCCCCAGCAUUGGGGCGGGGGCGGGGGUAAUAAGAAGUGAGAAGAAAAUUGCCAAAAUCAGGUUGAGAAAGUCCUGUGAAGUAGAAAGUACUUCUGUCCAUUAGUUCCAGAUACAUUUGUAAGACAAGAAGCCGUGUUGGAACACAGCGAUAUUCGUUCUUUAAUUGGGAGCGGUGAGCUCAUCAUAAAAAUGUUGAGCUCUGAGGUUGUACAGCUGUUAACCAGCAGCUGCAGACCAGGCAAAAGUGCCUGUCCUUCAACAGGAUGGGAGUCAAGGGGUUGACCCCAGUGAGGAAGCUGGGACCUCUGGACUAGAGAUGGCACAGGAGCAGUUGAGUAUAAUCACCAUGGAAAAAUAGACUGAAGAAAAACUUAAGGAAAAAGAAAAAGAUGGGCUGAACAUGGAAGAAGUUUUCCUGUCAAGCAAAAUUACCUGCUUCUACUUUUUUGCACAAUGAUAAAUAAGAUUACCCAUACUAAUAACAAAUACAUAAAUGUUGAAUUUGAAAGUCCCUAUUGUAACAAACACUGCUAAACUUAAUAUAAAUUCACCAAAUUCCAGAAAUUAGAGUUUAAAUGGGCUAUUGUACCCCUAAAUAGUAAAAUUCAUAGUGCUUUCUUUAAAAAGGUUUAUUCUUAGGAUAUUGUAAUAAUAGUGUCUAAUCAUUAUAGUUGUCAGGUAGAGACCAGUAUUAGUAUACCAGCUUGACCAAAGAUUUAUAGCCUCAAACAUCUUUCCUUCAUAGUAAUAAUGUGUGAUUAGUCUUUUGGGGGAUUAUAUGGUUGUCUCCCCUGCUCUGCUGUAAGCUCUUUGAGAGCAGGGACCUUGUCUGUUCUGCUCAAGGGCAUAUUUGAGACCCAGCACAUAGCUGGACACAAUCUCAGCAACUUGGGAGGCUGAGGCAGGAAGAUUGCCAAGUUCUAGGCCAGUCUAGGCAACUUAGCAUGAUCCUGUCUCAAAAUAAAAAAUAAAAAGGUGCUACUGAGCACCCUUGGCUUCCAUCCCCAGUUCUGAGAAAAAAUAUAAAGAGCCAGCACAUACUGGCAAUUAAUGGCCACCUCAAUAUUUACUGAAUACAUGAAUGAACUUAGAAAGUACGGAGGAGUUUCGAGGCUAAGAUAAUGAUUGGAGUUUUGGAUGUGCUGUGCUUGAAGUAUCUGUGCUUCAUUCCAAUGAACCUCUUCAUUGCAAGAUCAGUUUCCCAUCUCACCUUGACAUACUCAGCUCACACAUUCAAACACAGAGCCCUCUGGCUUCUUCCAUCUAAUAAGCAAUCAUAUAUUUCCGUGGGGUGGGAGAGAUAAGUAUAAUAAUGGUGUAUUUGAAGUGGUCUUCCCUGAGGCAAUAUAUAUCACACCCUCUCCUCCCUCCUAAAUAAACAUGACUUUUUUUCCUAAUCCUUGUAAAAAAAAAGAUCCCAUUUACCUCAGCUUAAAAAUAGCCUAGGAUCUGGUCACAUGACAACCCAAUUUUAGGAGUUUGUUGGAAACUUCCUACUAUUCAGUGACCAACCAAGACACAAACAUAGGACUACCCAUUCUGUUUAUAUUCUUUUGAUAUUCUGAGCAGCUUUUUGUAAAGAGAAUUAAUAAAAUAUAUUUCUAUAAUUAAGAUUGCCAGAUAAAAUAUGUCAGUAUGCAUUUCAGAUAAAUAAUUACAUUCUUGUACAAGUAUGUCUCAUGCAAUAUUUGGGGUAUACUUAAAUAUUGUUUAUUGGAAAUUCAAAUCGUGUUGGGUAUCCUAUAUUUUUAUUUGCUAAAUCUGGCAACGUAUAAUAUAACCAACUUCAGAUGAUCAAGAAAA